AGGCUGUACAGUGGUGAACUUUCUCAACUUGGGAAUGCUGAACGGUUCCUGAAGGUCUUGGUUGACAUUCCAUUUACUUAUAAACGAUUGGAAGCUCUGCUUUUCAUGUGUACUCUACAGGAAGAGGGUGCCACUACUAAGGAAUCCUUUGAAACCUUGGAGGUUGCUUGCAAGGAACUCAAAAACAGUAGAUUGUUCCUCAAGCUUCUAGAAGCUGUUCUUAAAACUGGCAACCGCAUGAAUGAUGGAACAUUCCGUGGUGGUGCUCAAGCAUUUAAACUUGACACACUUCUGAAAUUAUCUGAUGUGAAGGGAACAGAUGGUAAGACCACAUUGUUGCACUUUGUCGUUCAGGAGAUAAUACGUUCUGAAGGUGUGAGAGCCGCCCGUGUAGCAAGGGAGAGUCAUACGUUCUCUAACAUCAGUGUGAAGAGCAAUGAUCUCCUUGAGGAUAUUACCGCUGAUACAGAAUAUGACUAUAGCAAACUUGGUCUUCAGGUGGUUUCUUGUUUGAGCAGUGAACUAGGAAAUGUCAAGAAAGCAGCAAUUGUAGAUCCUGAUAGCUUAACAGGAACUGUUGCUAAACUUGGCAAUUCACUGUUAAAAACCCAAGAUUUCCUGAACAAGGAUAUGAAGAGUUUAGGGG
rnacentral:misc_RNA from 1 species